UCAAGAAAACUAAUAGUGGCUGGGUGCAGUGGUUCACACCUGUAAUCCCAGCACUUUGGGAGGCCGAGGUGGGCCAAUCACUUGAGGUCAGGAGUUUGAGACCAGCAUGGCCGACAUGGUGAAACCCUGUCUCUACUAAAAAUACAAAAAUUAGCUGGGCGUGGUAGCAUGCACCUGUAAUCUGAGCUACUCUGGAGGCUGAGGCACAAGAAUCACUUAAACCCAGGAGG
rnacentral:lncRNA from 1 species